GUUCUCGUUCAGCUCGAGAGCUGAACACAUCAAAAUUUUAAUUUGAAAGUUUAGUUUGGACCUUUUUCCACAAAUUCUGGUUUCUCCAAAAAAUCUUUAGUAAGAUGAUAUCUCUAUAGAGCGGCGGGACCGACCUCCAUAUGGGCGAGAGGAUUGCGCUGGGCUGGUAGUCAAAUGUGUACUCUUUUAUAAAUGAUAGUCCAAUAUAUUUUUGUCCAAGGUUUAUUCGUAAUACAUCCCCUUUGAUACACUAAGGACGGUAAUGGCGGUACCGAAGGCAGAUUGCGCCAAUUUAGGAAACAAAAUGCAAGUUGGGGUCGCUGGCAAUCCUUCUAAUUGCUACAACUAUCCUUU